AAAAAAAAAGAAAAAUAUCUUCGAUGUAACUACUAAGAGCAUAUGGCGGUAUCGACUUCGGUUCUCGACCUCGGGGACAGAGCGAAAGCAACUCGAUAUAUCUCACGAGAAGUCAUCAAUCAUUGUAACACUUGAAAGAAAAAAGAGUAUGAAGGAAAAGAUAAAAAUUGCAAAGUAAUUACCGAAUAGCCAUAUUCUUUUCGAUUCUCGUCUCGCGAGCCUUCUUUUCCAUGCCGCAGCCACAUUUCACGAACAUUCGUUGCAUUUUAUUCCGUUUGAGUACCAAACGGCGAGAGAGUUUCGUUUUCUCGAGAGGAGAGACGAGAAUCGAAAAGUAUUUAAAAAAUAGGAAGGAAAAGAAAAAAAAAUCAAUGCCGAUCAGUCAGUGUGAUUCUGUGUGUGCGCACGCGCGAAAUCGCAAGUAUUUUGUAUGUACAGAACCAGUGUAUCAUGUCCGGGCAGUUCUACACACGACACUCGAGGAGACGCAAGCUCUUUUUCCAUCGUCGGCGUACGGGGAAACCGAAAGCAAAUAAUUUGAGAAAAAGAAGAGGGAACUGUAAUAAUAGUAAAGAGAAAAAUGUGUUCACGCGCAUGCAAUAUUAGGUGAUGAAGAUUAAUUGUAAUUUCUCUAAUGUAAAAAAAAAGGAACGUUAUUGCCAGAAUGAAGGAAAAAAAAAGCAGGAAAAAACGAGCGUGAAAGAGUCGAAAGAAAGAGAGAGAGAGAGCGCGCGUGUGUGUGUGUGUGAAAGAGUCAAUCGAAGAAACGAACAAUAGCGGACUAACGAGAGAAUACGCGGUCCCCUCGCGAUUGAACGAGAGAGCAAUCGACGAGAAGACGCGAUUGAUUGCAUACGCGUGUCUGUGGAUGCGUGCGUGCGUGCGUGCGUAGAAAGAGAGAAUGGAAAAUAUCG